rnacentral:lncRNA from 1 species
CAGCUACAAAUUUGCCAUCUCUUUUGAAAAGAUGCUUUUGCCUUCUUUGAGGACUUACUCAUCCUGUUUAAUAGAAAGGAUUCAGAAGUGUCUUAGUGGUAAGUUGCAACUUGCCCUACUAUUCCUGCAAGAAUCCUGGAAAGCUUGGCCAGAUUUGGGGAAAAAGAAGGAAACUCUACUUGGUCACCCUAAUCUCAGAGGAUGCAGGCAGGGACUCUCAGUUCAGAAAGUGACCUCCCAAAGACCCAGAAAGGACUGAGUUGCAUUGUGAGUUUAAAACCAUUGCUAGGGCUCCUGGAGACUGGAGGGUGGGGUUCUGGCAUCUCAGAGACAGCAGCUGAGUUAUGUGUGCUCUGUUUCCCCUCCAAUGUGAAGAAAGCUUCAACACCUCCUACAGAAGAGGGGCCGUGAGACCACAGCCCAAAGGAGGCUGGACAGGGAGGGUCUCAGCCAGGGUUGCAUAAGAGAAGUGGCAUUGCACUUAAAGACCUGCACUUGGGAACACAGAGGAGCUUUCCCAGAGGCAGCUGAAUGCUUAAAAAGUGAAUCUCUCAAGCUGCCCUGCUUGUCUCUGCAGCUGUUCUUCAUCUAUUUUGUUUGGGUUUAAAGGUCAGUGAAAAUGCACGGCACAGGGUUAUUUAGCACCUUCCACAGAGGAUGCGGAUGCCUUUUUCAGUGGCCACACAGAAUUCAAUAUGUGUUACUCUCCCUCCUUUAGCAAUAUGGGGGAGCUGUGUCUGAGGACUGGCGCUGUCAGGAGGUGAACCUGGCUGGUGGGGGACUGAACUGCAUUCCUGGCAUUCAGGAGAAUACUUCUCCCUCAAGAUUUAUGGGCUUCAUUUUAUGUUUAAAUGGUUUCUGUCAAAAUUCCAAGAGGCUUUAGUGAGUAAUGGGAAGCAAGGAAAGGGAAAGCAUACUCCAGGUAGUAGAAAUAGCACCGACAAAGGCUGUUGAGAAGUGAACACGCAUUUGUGCAGCGAAUGUUUACUAAGCAUCUACCACACGUCUUUGACUGAUUGCCAGAUAAAAGGGUUUGGAGCCACAGAACUCUGACAGACUCUCUUAAGGCUAUUGCAAUCCCUGGCCUCUCUGGGAGAGUGAAGUCCUGUUGUCGUUUCUUCCAACUGGGGUUAGAGAGCAGCAUCUUAGGGGAGCCCAGUUCAUACCAACCCCUUCCCAACCAGCAGAGGAGCUUCAGAAAAUGAAGCUCAGAAGCUGAUCCAAGAUGGAGAUACAGAGACAAGGAACAGCUGUUUGCUCUUUUUUAAUUCUAAAUCUGGCAUGCCCUCGAGUCCCUGGUAGAGUCACACCCCAUCUAGACAUGAUUUGGGCCCUGCUGGUGUCUGCAAAAACUCACCCCUCUGAGACCAAGACAUACUCCCCACAGGCCAGCCACCUAGAGCCUCUUGCCAAACACCAGGAAGCCCAUCUUGUCCACAGCAGCCUCUCAGUCCAUUUUCACCAUCUACACUCCAGCCUCUCCUUUGAAAUAAAUGUAUUCAAUGCAAAGGUACAAAAUGGAUGAAACUGUUGUUUUUAAAUGCUGAUUUCAUGCCCCUCCCAAAGGCACUCUUUUGUUCUAUUUAAUUUUUACUUCAGAUUGCUGAUAAACUCUAGGGUGGAUUCAUCAAAGGAAACUGAUAAUUACCAAUUCUGUACAUUUUAUUUUGUUCAUUAUUUUGUUAGCAUCUGAUUCUGAAAAAAUAUUCUUUAUAAAUGGGCUGGAAGCUGGCAUAAAAAUUAUUAGCAAUAACAAGAUGUUUUUGCAUAGAAAUGGGUUUCUUACCGGCCAGCUGCAGUUAAGUGUGUGGGACUUGCUUUGUGGCAGCCAACAAUAUCCAGCAAGCUCCUUUCCACCUGCCUCCAGGUAAAAAAAAAAAAAAAAUUGGCUUAGAACCCAAGAGUGGGGUUGUAUUUUCCUCUGCAGAAAGGUACCCAUCUUUUUCCAGCUGGGAUCCCUGGUGGGUGGAAAAUAGAUUACCAGGGAAGUGGAGUCAGAGAGUGAGCCUAGAACAGCACUAAAAAAGGGCAUCAGGGGGUCGGUGUCCUAAGGAUUGGUUGGGGUGGAACACUGGGAGAUCCCAUAAUUGCUAAGAAUAGCAGAAAGUGUGUGCAUUGGUUGAUUCAUUCCAUAUUCAUGAACAUGCACAGUCCUCAGUAGAAUUUAAUGUAUAUAAGCAGUGGGUAUUGGUUAUUUCUGGAUGCUGCCCAACAUCUUCCCAUCUUUGGGGGAGUUCCAUGGUUUGUGAUGCAUCCCCAGGGUAGAAGCUGGAAUCGCUCCUGCCCAUCCACUCUUGCUGCUAAGAUAUAGGCAGGGGACUUAGGAUCUACUGAUCUGAUACACUCACUUGAGGCUUUGCCUGGGAAACUAGUACCAUGAAGUUGGUGCCAUAGGGAAUUCAUUCUGCCAAACAUUGCAGCAGAUUAUUCUAAGAAGCAUCCAAACCCUAGACUCAGGGGAAUUAACACAAUAUUUGUGCCCAGGGGUAUAUUCCUGGAGGCAGAUCUGUGAUGAAAUCUGGCCACUGUUCUUGGUCACUAGGCUUUCAUGUGUGUACCUCCGGCCUUCUCAGAGAUUCUGUGAAUUAUCUAAUGUUCUUAAACAAAUUCCUUUUCCACUUAAACUGCCUAGAAUGAAUUCCUGAGGUUUGCAACUGGGAACCCAGACUGUGAACAUAGCUUUAUGUAAGCUGCAAGUGACAGAAGCCCAAAGGAAAUUUGAUUUGAAAACAGAUUGUGAAGAAAAAGCUUUAG